rnacentral:rRNA from 1 species
UGAACGCUGGCGGCAGGCCUAACACAUGCAAGUCGAGCGGUAACAGAUCUAGCUUGCUAGAUGCUGACGAGCGGCGGACGGGUGAGUAACGCAUAGGAAUCUGCCCGGUAGUGGGGGAUAACCUGGGGAAACCCAGGCUAAUACCGCAUACGUCCUACGGGAGAAAGCGGGGUUUCGGCCUCGCGCUAUCGGAUGAGCCUAUGCCGGAUUAGCUGGUUGGUGAGGUAAUGGCUCACCAAGGCGACGAUCCGUAGCUGGUCUGAGAGGAUGAUCAGCCACAUCGGGACUGAGACACGGCCCGAACUCCUACGGGAGGCAGCAGUGGGGAAUAUUGGACAAUGGGGGCAACCCUGAUCCAGCCAUGCCGCGUGUGUGAAGAAGGCCCUCGGGUUGUAAAGCACUUUCAGCGAGGAAGAACGCCUUGUGGUUAAUACCCGCAAGGAAAGACAUCACUCGCAGAAGAAGCACCGGCUAACUCCGUGCCAGCAGCCGCGGUAAUACGGAGGGUGCAAGCGUUAAUCGGAAUUACUGGGCGUAAAGCGCGCGUAGGCGGCUUAAUAAGCCGGUUGUGAAAGCCCCGGGCUCAACCUGGGAACGGCA